AGAAAACAAAUGUAAAUCGCCUUAGAGUCAAUGGCUGGAGCUGCAGGGCUUGACUAUGCAAAGCAGAGGUGGGAAGGCCAGUCCAUCAUCUGUCCUCUGUCUUCACAAUGGCCAGUGUCCAGAUAUUUGGAAAUACGAGAUGGUUGACAACGUUUCCUCUUCUGCUGCAGCUCCUUCAGCACACAAUCAGCAGGUCAUUAGCGUAUCGUUCAAAUCGCCCCGAACUCAGGAUGGAACCCCAGGGACCUGAAGGCAGAAUAGACUGAAGAGAAGAUGUGGUGUUGCUGACAGUUACUUCUGAUGGCAGUUAAAAAGGCUUCUUAAAGAAACAAGGAUAUCCUUCUAGAACAAUGGUCACACAAAAAAGCAAAAUGAGGAAAGUCAAGGACCAUGCCUACCUCAAUCUCCAUCAAGAACUCAGAGACCUGAGAUCUUAUGAAAUGGGUCCAGGCCAACAGGGUAA